rnacentral:rRNA from 1 species
GAUGAACGCUGGCGGCGUGCCUAAUACAUGCAAGUCGAGCGAACAGACGAGGAUCUUGCUCCUCUGACGUUAGCGGCGGACGGGUGUGUAACACGUGGAUCACCUACCUAUCAGACUGGGAUAACUUCGGGAAUCCGGAGCUAAUACCGUAUAAUAUCUUGCACCGUAUGGUUCAAUAGUGAAAUACGGUUUUGCUGUCACUUCUAGAUGGAUCCGCGCCGCAUUAGCUAGUUGUUAAGGUAACGGCUUUCCAAGGCAACGAUGCGUAGCCGACCUGAGAGGGUGAUCGGCCACACUGGAACUGAGACACGGUCCAGACUCCUACGGGAGGCAGCAGUAGGGAAUCUUACGCAAUGGGCGAAAGCCUGACGGAGCAACGCCGCGUGAGUGAUGAAGGUCUUCGGAUCGUAAAACUCUGUUAUUAGGGAAGAACAAAUGUGUAAGUAACUAUGCACGUCUUGACGGUACCUAAUCAGAAAGCCACGGCUAACUACGUG